rnacentral:rRNA from 1 species
AGUAGCCGCGGUAAUACGAAGGGGGCUAGCGUUGCUCGGAAUGACUGGGCGUAAAGGGCGCGUAGGCGGCUGACACAGUCAGAUGUGAAAUUCCUGGGCUCAACCUGGGGACUGCAUUUGAGACGUGUUGGCUUGAGUGGAGAAGAGGGUCGUGGAAUUUCCAGUGUAGAGGUGAAAUUCGUAGAUAUUGGAAAGAACACCGGUGGCGAAGGCGGCGACCUGGUCUUUAACUGACGCUGAGGCGCGAAAGCGUGGGGAGCAAACAGGAUUAGAGACCCCAGUAGUCCCUGUCUCUUAUACA